rnacentral:rRNA from 1 species
GAAACCAACUGGGAUUGCCCUAGUAACGGCGAGUGAAGCGGCAACAGCUCAAAUUUGAAAUCUGGCUCUCCUGGAGGGUCCGAGUUGUAAUUUGCAGAGGGCGCUUUGGCUUUAGUGGCGGUCUAAGUUCUUUGGAACAGGACAUCGCAGAGGGUGAGAAUCCCGUAUGUGGUCGCCUUCUAUCGCCGUGUAAAGCCCCUUCGACGAGUCGAGUUGUUUGGGAAUGCAGCUCUAAAUGGGAGGUAAAUUUCUUCUAAAGCUAAAUACUGGCCAGAGACCGAUAGCGCACAAGUAGAGUGAUCGAAAGAUGAAAAGCACUUUGGAAAGAGAGUCAAAAAGCACGUGAAAUUGUUGAAAGGGAAGCGCUUGCAGCCAGACUUGCUUGUUGUUGCUCACCUUGGUUCUAUUACCUGGGGCAUUCGACUGCAAGCAGGCCAGCAUCAGUUUGGGCGGCCGGAUAAAGACCUCUGUCACGUAUCUUCCUUCGGGAUGACCUUAUAGGGGAGGUGUAACACGGCCAGUCCGGACUGAGGUCCGCGCAUCUGCUAGGAUGCUGACGUAAUGGCUUUAAACGAC